UACGCAUGCCUGCGUUUCACCAAUCACAUGCAGUCACGGGUGACGUUGGACCAAUCAAACAGAGCCAGGCGGUCACAUGACCGUCACACGUAAAACCUGACUUAAGCAAGUUGAACAACUUAUUCGGGUGUUACCAUUUAGUGGUCAAUUGUACGAAAUAUGUACUGAACUGUGCAAUCUACUAAUAAAAGUUUCAAUCAAUCAAUCAAUCAAAAGUGCAAAGGAAAAAAAUCCACUUUUUAUUUCAACCGUACUUCCCGUCAAAAGCCUAAAGACUGAUCGCACAGUUCCUGUCUUCACAAUAAAAGCGCCACUCCAUUGCGCCUGCGCUAACAAAACAAGAGUCUCCGAAACCCAGCGCAAACAAGCGAGCAAGCUACCGAGUUUGCCGCCAAUGUAUUUCUUGUAAAGUGUAUAAAAACGAAUAUGGAAGCUGGACAAAUAAGGUGCCAAAAACCAACGACUUUCAUGUGGUAUUAGACAGAAAAGAGGAACUUUUUUUCUCCUCCAUUUGAAAACGUGGACGUUAGUUCCAAUCAUUGCAAGUCAUCAGAAUCAGAGUCGGGACCCGGGAUGGACCGCUCGCCUGUGCAUCGGUGGGGACAUCUCUGCCCUGCUGACCUGUCUCCGCUUGGGAUGGUCUCCUGCUGGCCCCACCAUGGAGGGGACUCUCGCUACUACAUUGGAUCCACUAUGGAAUGGACUUUCACCGUUACGUUGGAUCUACUAUUGACUGGACUUUCACAAUAUCAUGUUAGACCCGCUCGACAUCCAUUGCUCUUGGUCUCCCCUAUGUGGUCCUCUCCAAGAUUUUUCAUAGUGAUUGUCACCCACUGGGGUGAGUUUUUCCUUGCCCUUUUGUGGGCUCUGUAUCGUGGAUGUCGUUGUGGCUUGUGCAGCCCUUUGAGACACUUGUGAUUUAGGGCUAUAUAAAUAAACAUUGAUUAAUUGAUUGAUUGAUUGAUUCCAAGUAAACGAUUAUUUGCAAAAAAAUAUUUUGUUUCUCAAUUCAAACAUUAAAUAUAUUUGUCACAAAGUGUUGCUGACAAACCCCAAGAUGCAAACACGGCAGGCUUGGUGCAGGAAAACAUGAUUUAAUGUCUGAAAAUUAAGAAAAUACACAAACCAUGAACCAGAAACAGCCAAACUGUCAUGUCUUUUUGAUCAUGUCUUGUUUGGCCUUGUUCUGUUGACCUUUGGACUCAAGUUCCUGUUUUUUUUCACUCCCUUGUUUUGCUGCCAUGGUUGCAAAUUGCGUUCACCUGUCUCUGAUUAGUGUUCGGCCGCUCACCUGCUACCCGAGCACUAAUCAGAGGCAUUAUUCAAGCCUGCCAUUGCCAGUCAGUAGGCCUGGCGUCAUUGUGUUCUUUUCUUGCUCUGUGCUGACUUGUUUAAUGCUUUGGCAUAGUUGCGUUCUUCAUGCCAUGCCAAGUAAGUUUUGUUUGAUUUAUGUUCAUAGUCUGUUUAAGUGUUAGUUUUGUUCCUUAGCCCAAGUUGUGCCUCCGCUGUGAGUGCUUUUUGUUUGUAUCUUUUUUAGUUCAAAUUAAAUCAUGUUUUUACCUAAA